rnacentral:rRNA from 1 species
CACGUGAGUAACCUGCCCUUGACUCUGGGAUAACCUCCGGAAACGGAAGCUAAUACCGGAUAUGACGUACGGAGGCAUCUCCUGUACGUGGAAAGAAUUUCGGUCAAGGAUGGACUCGCGGCCUAUCAGGUAGUUGGUGAGGUAACGGCCCACCAAGCCUACGACGGGUAGCCGGCCUGAGAGGGUGACCGGCCACACUGGGACUGAGACACGGCCCAGACUCCUACGGGAGGCAGCAGUGGGGAAUAUUGCACAAUGGGCGCAAGCCUGAUGCAGCAACGCCGCGUGAGGGACGACGGCCUUCGGGUUGUAAACCUCUUUUAGUAGGGAAGAAGCGAAAGUGACGGUACCUGCAGAAAAAGCACCGGCUAACUACGUGCCAGCAGCCGCGGUAAUACGUAGGGUGCAAGCGUUGUCCGGAAUUAUUGGGCGUAAAGAGCUCGUAGGCGGUUUGUCGCGUCUGCUGUGAAAUCCCGAGGCUCAACCUCGGGCCUGCAGUGGGUACGGGCAGACUAGAGUGCGGUAGGGGAGAUUGGAAUUCCUGGUGUAGCGGUGGAAUGCGCAGAUAUCAGGAGGAACACCGAUGGCGAAGGCAGAUCUCUGGGCCGUAACUGACGCUGAGGAGCGAAAGCGUGGGGAGCGAACAGGAUUAGAUACCCUGGUAGUCCACGCCGUAAACGUUGGGAACUAGAUGUGGGGACCAUUCCACGGUCUCCGUGUCGCAGCUAACGCAUUAAGUUCCCCGCCUGGGGAGUACGGCCGCAAGGCUAAAACUCAAAGGAAUUGACGGGGGCCCGCACAAGCGGCGGAGCAUGCGGAUUAAUUCGAUGCAACGCGAAGAACCUUACCAAGACUUGACAUAUACGAGAACGGGCCAGAAAUGGUCAACUCUUUGGACACUCGUAAACAGGUGGUGCAUGGUUGUCGUCAGCUCGUGUCGUGAGAUGUUGGGUUAAGUCCCGCAACGAGCGCAACCCUCGUUCUAUGUUGCCAGCACGUAAUGGUGGGAACUCAUAGGAGACUGCCGGGGUCAACUCGGAGGAAGGUGGGGAUGACGUCAAAUCAUCAUGCCCCUUAUGUCUUGGGCUUCACGCAUGCUACAAUGGCCGGUACAAAGGGCUGCAAUACCGUAAGGUGGAGCGAAUCCCAAAAAGCCGGUCUCAGUUCGGAUUGAGGUCUGCAACUCGACCUCAUGAAGUCGGAGUCGCUAGUAAUCGCAGAUCAGCAACGCUGCGGUGAAUACGUUCCCGGGCCUUGUACAC